rnacentral:rRNA from 1 species
UACAGAGGGUGCAAGCGUUAAUCGGAAUUACUGGGCGUAAAGGGUGUGUAGGUGGAUAUUUAAGUGAGAGGUGAAAUCCCCGGGCUUAACCUGGGAACUGCCUCUUAUACUGGGUAUCUGGAGUACGAUAGAGGGUAGUGGAAUUUACGGUGUAGCGGUGAAAUGCGUAGAUAUCGUAAGGAAGACCAGUGGCGAAGGCGGGUCUCUGGACAGUUCCUGACGCUGAGGCACGAAGGCCAGGGGAGCAAACGGG